rnacentral:rRNA from 1 species
UACGUAGGGUGCAAGCGUUAAUCGGAAUUACUGGGAGUAAAGCGUGCGCAGGCGGUUUUGUAAGUUUGUCGUGAAAUCCCCGGGCUUAACCUGGGAAUUGCGUUGGAGACUGCAAGGCUAGAAUCUGGCAGAGGGGGGUAGAAUUCCACGUGUAGCAGUGAAAUGCGUAGAGAUGUGGAGGAACACCGAUGGCGAAGGCAGCCCCCUGGGUCAAGAUUGACGCUCAUGCACGAAAGCGUGGGGAGCAAACAGG